AGGGUUCGAUUCUGGCUCAGGAUGAACGCUGGCGGCGUGCUUAACACAUGCAAGUCGAACGGGAUCCAUCAAGCUUGCUUGGUGGUGAGAGUGGCGAACGGGUGAGUAAUGCGUGACCGACCUGCCCCAUACACCGGAAUAGCUCCUGGAAACGGGUGGUAAUGCCGGAUGCUCCAGUUGAUCGCAUGGUCUUCUGGGAAAGCUUUCGCGGUAUGGGAUGGGGUCGCGUCCUAUCAGCUUGACGGCGGGGUAACGGCCCACCGUGGCUUCGACGGGUAGCCGGCCUGAGAGGGCGACCGGCCACAUUGGGACUGAGAUACGGCCCAGACUCCUACGGGAGGCAGCAGUGGGGAAUAUUGCACAAUGGGCGCAAGCCUGAUGCAGCGACGCCGCGUGAGGGAUGGAGGCCUUCGGGUUGUAAACCUCUUUUAUCGGGGAGCAAGCGAGAGUGAGUUUACCCGUUGAAUAAGCACCGGCUAACUACGUGCCAGCAGCCGCGGUAAUACGUAGGGUGCAAGCGUUAUCCGGAAUUAUUGGGCGUAAAGGGCUCGUAGGCGGUUCGUCGCGUCCGGUGUGAAAGUCCAUCGCUUAACGGUGGAUCCGCGCCGGGUACGGGCGGGCUUGAGUGCGGUAGGGGAGACUGGAAUUCCCGGUGUAACGGUGGAAUGUGUAGAUAUCGGGAAGAACACCAAUGGCGAAGGCAGGUCUCUGGGCCGUUACUGACGCUGAGGAGCGAAAGCGUGGGGAGCGAACAGGAUUAGAUACCCUGGUAGUCCACGCCGUAAACG
rnacentral:rRNA from 1 species